GCUUCUGUUUCCAUAUCAAAAUCUGCAGCAACCAACGUGACCAUUUUUUGUGUGAAACCAAACCACCAAUAUAAUUAAGAUGACAUGUUAAGUGUGAAUAUGCCAACACAUCAGAUUGUUAAUGCAAUAAGACCAGCAGUUAUCAAAGACAAAUGAAAAUACACAGCAAAAUUUCUAGCUUGGGCCAUGUAGGAUUAGUUGGACAUAAUGCUUGUACAGCUACAAUGCAACUGAAAGUCCUAUGUCAUAUUUUCCACCACCACCCCUUCCCAACCCCCCAAACCAAAAUAAAUAAAUAAACUGAAUUUAUUUGAAUCAGCACUCAUUUUUCACUCAGGUGUGUUGUAGACCCUUAUUUUGUGAU
rnacentral:misc_RNA from 1 species